UACGGAAGGGGCAAGCGUUGUUCGGAAUCAUUGGGCGUAAAGGGCGCGUAGGUGGUCUUGUAUGUCUAUCGUGAAAGCACACGGCUCAACCGUGUAAAGUCGGUGGAAACUGCAGGACUGAGGUUGGGAGGGGCUGGUGGAAUUCCCUGUGUAGCGGUGAAAUGCGUAGAGAUGGGGGAGAACACUUGUGGCGAAGGCGGCCAGCUGGACCAAUCCUGACACUGAGGCGCGACAGCGUGGGGAGCAAACAGGG
rnacentral:rRNA from 1 species